GAUGAAGAACGCAGCGAAAUGCGAUACUUGGUGUGAAUUGCAGAAUCCCGUGAACCAUCGAGUCUUUGAACGCAAGUUGCGCCUCAAGCCAUUAGGUUGAGGGCACGUCUGCCUGGGCGUCACAUAUCGUUGCCUGAUGCCAGUUUCCUCGUGAUGGGUGACUGUGCAGGGCGAAUGAUGGCUUCCCGUGAGCAUUGUUGCCUCAUGGUUGGUUGAAAAUUGAGUCCUUGGUAGGGAGCGCCGUGAUAGAUGGUGGUUGAGUGACGAACGAGACCCAAUCAUGUGAGACCCCUACCGAAUUUGGCCUUCAUGACCCACAUGCGUCUUUGGAACGCUCAUGACGAGACCUCAGGUCUGGCGGGGCUACCCGCUGAGUUUAAGCAUAUCAAUAAGCGGAGGA
rnacentral:misc_RNA from 1 species